rnacentral:lncRNA from 1 species
UGGAGUAGAGAAACUACCCAGAACAGAAUACAUGCUAGCUGACCCCAAAAGGAGAGAUCAGGGGAAACAAGCACCUCCGUUGGAACUGUUCAACUUUUACAAAAUGCUGAUCUGGCUGCUGUCAAGAGGAUGAAAUAGAUUAAUCAAGACAUAGACAAGUUCAGAGGUUCAGAGACCAGCUACAAUCAACUUUAAAAUCACCAAAUGACAAUAAUCAAACCACAAAAAAGAAGCAGCUGGUGCUUCUGCCUUUUAUGGGAGUUUUUACUUUUACAUUUCUUCCUUCAUUCAUGUUUUAAAGAGUGUAGGGGGUUCACCCACUAAGGAAGGGAAGUAAUGCAUUUAAAUGUGAUGGUAAACUGUAAACAUCCAUGUUCUUAUAUUUUUUCCGUGGAAAUGACGAGUUAGAAAAAGUCGAUCUUGAGAACACUAAGAAGUAGUGGUGAUUAUGUUUUUGUCCUGGAAAAGGCUUGCAGGGAAUCAUCAUACACCUGGAUUGGGAUGAAGUGUUUGAAACUACACUACGUAACAGAUGUCCACAAAGUGUUAAAUGAAACAAAGAGCUCC